rnacentral:lncRNA from 1 species
GGCAAUUUCACUGGAGAGGCAGUUUGAUUUACUUUCUCUAUGACUUCUCUGUGUUGUAAUAAAUGUAAAGAUUCAGAAUCCAAAUCAGAAGAAAUAUUUUCCUAUCAAGUCUGAAGCAGGGAAGGUUCAAGGCAUUGAGUGACUUGCACCGUGGGACGACUUGGUAGUUUCUUCAAGAACAGCAUCUAUUUGCCUCAAAAACUCCUUACCUCUAGUUUUGUGUAUUUUGUGGUUAGGACUAAAUUCUCUUCUGAAGAGAAUUAUCUUUGUGUACAAAGAAAGAAUUGCUUUUCUUAGCAACUAUAAGUACCCUAGUAAACACCCUGAUUCAGAUUAAAGGCUCAAAGCACUUUCCUCAGAACAUGCCUUAUUUCCCUUAUUUUAGCUGCAUGCUGCUAGAAGCACGAGGUGGUCUUAUACACUCUGGAUGAGCAUACCCAGAAUGGCUUUGGCCUGAAAGAAAUGGAAUAAUCUUUAUUUUCCUCUCUUCCUUGGCUGUCAUAGUUACUCUUUCCACAUCAAUUCCCUCUGUUGGAUCAGGACUACUGUGGUUCUAUGGACACGCCUCUGGCCCUUCCAACCCGGUGUGUGGGUGGGCCUUAUGGAGGACUGCUGCUCAAGAGCACAGUUAGGAGCCAGAGCACUCACACAUCCUUGGAUCAUCAGCCCCAGCCACAUCAAGCAAAAGUUCUGUCGCAGGAAUGGAAGUGAGCAGUGGAUCUGCUGAUCCUGGAACAUCUGGUUUGCCCAGCCCUGCUCACCACUGACAACAAAGUACUUCUCAAUACUCUGCAGCAAACUAAAGACUAAAAGACCAAAGGAGGAAUUUAGAUAAGGAAGUCUGAUGCAGUAUGUAAACAGGAACUCCAUGGGAACAGCCUUUUCUCAAAUGCUUUUCAAAAUCCCCCCUCUGGAAACCUCAGUGUUGCAUGUGAAUUUCAGUUCCACCUUUGGAAACAUUUCAGCAUUUAACAUUUCUCCUUCAGUCAGAGAUCUUCUUCUGAUGCACCAUGCUUUACACACUAUAAUGUCAAGUGAAGUUAGCAAAUGA